GACGAACGCUGGCGGCGUGCUUAACACAUGCAAGUCGAACGGAAAGGCCCUGCUUUUGUGGGGUGCUCGAGUGGCGAACGGGUGAGUAACACGUGAGUAACCUGCCCUUGACUUUGGGAUAACUUCAGGAAACUGGGGCUAAUACCGGAUAGGAGCUCCUGCUGCAUGGUGGGGGUUGGAAAGUUUCGGCGGUUGGGGAUGGACUCGCGGCUUAUCAGCUUGUUGGUGGGGUAGUGGCUUACCAAGGCUUUGACGGGUAGCCGGCCUGAGAGGGUGACCGGCCACCUUGGGACUGGGAUACGGCCCAGACUCCUACGGGAGGCAGCAGUGGGGAAUAUUGCACAGUGGGCGGAAGCAUGAUGCAGCAACGCCGCGUGCGGGAUGACGGCCUUCGGGUUGUAAACCGCUUUCGCCUGUGACGAGGUGUGGGUGACGGUAAUGGGUAAAGAAGCACCGGCUAACUACGUG
rnacentral:rRNA from 1 species